GUUAAAAAGAGGAAAGGCUUGCGGUGGAUACCUAGGCACCCAGAGACGAGGAAGGGCGUAGCAAGCGACGAAAUGCUUCGGGGAGUUGAAAAUAAGCAUAGAUCCG
rfam:Triticum aestivum genome assembly, contig: Triticum_aestivum_CS42_TGACv1_scaffold_048882_1BL